CUCCCCUGGCACAACUUGAGGCCGUUUCCUCUGCUCCUGGCGCUUGUUCCUGGGGAGCAGAGCCCGACCCCCCUGGCUCCAAGCUCCUUUCAGGCAGUUCAGAGAUCAGAAGGUCUCCCCUCAGCUCCUGUUCUCCAGCUGAACCCCCCAGGUCCCUCAGCUGCUCCUCAUUUUUGUGUCUGGGAAGGGCUUAAAACCUUGGUAUAAGUCUCCUGCUCUGCAAAACUUCCCUGUCUCUGAGUCUUGUCUCUCUGAGAAGGAGCACAUUUCCCUUUAUAACCCUCUGACCACUCAAAAAGGCACCUAAAAUGAAAAAAGGGAUCUCCCGGUGGGGGUUUUUGCCCAUGUGGAUAUCAUACAAGUGUCCCCAGGGCCAGCCCCGAGGGCACACGGCCCCUCCAAGCACCUGGAGGCAUAUUGGCAUUCCCAAUCUUCGGGCCCCAUCUCGUGGCAAACACGUCGCACGGCAAGCCCUGGCCAGGGCACAGUCCCCAGGGACAUGGGACAGUGCCUGGGGCUGGGCUUUCACCACUGUUUUGGGGCUGUGAGCUGCUAUUUCCUAUGGGGACGGGAGUGUUGGGCGCCAAGGAGGUGGGGGGAAGCCCCUGUGAAGAUGCUGUGGAGUGGGAUGGCUCCCACAAGUCUUUGUGAACAUCUGUGUCCCUGGGCCACCACGGGGCAAGAGCUGCGGGGUAUGGGUGAAUGUCCUCAGACCCAUCCAAAAUCAAACCAAUCCCCUUGUCCCCGCAAAUCGUCACCCUGGACCAGCUCUUCUGCCGCUGAGACAUAGUCCCUGAAGCUGCUGUCACCUUAACUUCCCUGUCCCUUGGAGCAGGAGACCAGGGCAGGUUUAUCUCCUUAACCCUGCACUUUCCACCCCUUGGAGGGGAGAUUGGGGCAGGUUGUACAGGCAGAAUUUGAAGGAGCCACUUGAUUUUCACUUCUUUGCCUCACUCACCCCUGCCCAAAACUCCACAGAGCUUCCCAAGGCAACAACUGUCCCCUUAACCCUGCCCUGUGUCCAGAUGAGAGAAGAAGAAUGCGAAGCAGCUGUGGCAUGACCCAGACACCACUGUUACCGUAGGAUGGGGGAGAAAAACCCUCCCCAGGCACAUAACCCCCAUGCAAGAGCAAUUCAUGACCCGACACUUUCCUUCCUUCAGCCAAAUCCGAUCUUUAAACCCUGGGACUUAGUUUUUCCUUGUAAAAGCUUAACAGGACAAACAUAUUAUUCCAACCCCAAGGGCUCCCCCUUCGGAGCUGCGAUUUAGCCCUAGAAGCAUCAUCCCCCCCAAAAAAACCCACUCCUUGCAUCUCCCGCUAGCAGGAUGGUGGAACUUGGGACAUGAAUUUAGAUAUGGCCAAAUUCAUCACCCCUGUCUGCAGCCCCUGCUCUUCUGGGGACACUAUUUGGUCCAGAGCUGCUGGUUGGAGAAUGGAAACAUCUCCAAAAGCUCUUGCAGAGCCGGCACAACUGCUGGGAGAGAACUGAGCUGGUUCGAGCUGUUGCUGCCCUCUCCAGAGCCGCGGAGCAGCGUCUCCACCUCGCCUGUCCCCGACAGCUAUUUUACAACUGUCUGAAUCAGGUGUCGUGUCCCCAUGGCCAGAUCAGACUUUUUCCCCUUAGCAAAACACUCUGGAGACCCAAGCCGAGCAAGGGGAAAGGCAGAGCAAGGGGGAAACACGGCAGAAACGCAUCAGCGCCCAGCGCCUCGUUUCCUGCUCCUCGGCUGCGGGGAGGAUAACCUGGCAAAAGAGCAAAAAUCAAGGCAAAGCAGCAAAAAAAUGCAGCGUCCGGCUGUGCUGGCGGACAACAAAAGCUGGGUUUUGUGUCAUGGUGUGCCAGAAAGUUUUAGUGGAGCAGGAAAGAAGCUGGAAUUGAGUAUUCCUCCUCCAGAAAAAACAGCAAGAAAAGAAACAAAAACACCUGUGGUGGAUCUGGGGAACUCGGAGUUAAAUCUGCUGCUGCCGGAGGAGGGUGACCCGCAGGUGGGUGCAUUUUGCAGGGGGUGGAAAUUUCUGGGAUGCCUGUGAGCGAUUUACAAGCAUUAUAUUGAGAUGGUACUGAGGUGGGAUUAUUUGUACGGGCUGAAGAUUUACCUCUUGGUUUGAAAAGAGAGAAGUAAAUCGUUCUGGCAAGGCAGCUCCGGCAAACUGGGGACAAAGCUAUUUGCUGGUUAUCACAGGCUCCUUGGCAGCAGAGGCACAGGAUAAAGCUCAUUUUUUCCCUACCAAAAAAGAAACGUGGAACCUGAUCUCCCAAAGAAAGCACUGAAAUAUUUAAAGUUUGUGCAAAUGAAACCGGCUGCUGGUUAAUAAAUGAAACCCAGGCACUCACCUGGUUGUCCUCGGUGGCUGCGGUGGGAAGGGGUUCGCUGCGGUCUCACUCCGAGGAGAGAGGCAUCAGGCUGCGGAGGGAGGAGGAUCUCGCUGCGGUACAAGAUUGCCCAUCUCCCAUCUCUCCAUAACUCUACAAUGAACGUCCCUUCCUCUCCUCUGAGGCUGAUUUUUGGGAUCGUUGUGCUGGUGAGGCUGCAGCAGCUGGACGAAGUGGGUGGGAGACACAUUGCUUAAGAAAUGUGAUGGUUACUUCUCUACAGGGUUGCUAAGGAACUGCCCGCGGGCAUCGGAUGCCACGAUGAGAUUUGAUGUCAACAUUCCUGCCGAGGGGUUCACCAGUCCACAGUGAUGCACCCUCCUCUUCUCUAAUGCCCUGGUGUAGCUGAUAGCUGGAGUGGAUCAAUGAAAUGCGGGGCUGGACUCUCUUGGGGAGAAACCACAACAUGAAGGAAAGCUUUCUCCCCUUGAUUUUGGUAAAUAAAUGCCACUUUGAGUUAUUCGUGAGCUGGCUGGUGGCAAUGGUUGCCAAGAGGUGAUGCUGUUGCACCCUGCAUUGGAGAAAAGCUCCUGGGAUCAUCUCCAUUGUCCUGGUGGAAACCCAACACUGCAGCACACAGGGAGGGCAGAGACAGAUGUCCAAGAGGACAUGUUCUGGGAGGGUUUGGGCAACUGAAGGAGGCAGGGAGAAUGUGCACUCCGUACAAAUAGCAUGUCUGUAGGAUGGAGAUAUGCCCUGUGCAUUACCGUAUCACCAGAGAUGGUGUAGCCAUGGUUGGUCAAGGUGGUAAUGAGCAGUCUGGCAUUUCCUCUGAUGGCCAAACCAAAGCCUUUCUUCUUAAAUCCUCCUCCUUGGGAAAACCUCCCUACUUUUCUGCGACAAACCCCGUAGCCCUGGGCAGGACUGUCCAAAUGCUGGACCCUGGGUGACACACGGUCUUGGGCAUCCCAAGAGAAGCCAAGGACAAGGUGGUUGGUUUGUGGGGACAUGCAGAACUGGGUCAGAAUGGAGUUGGUCCAAAGUUAUUGCAGACCAUAAAUAUAUAUAUAUAUAUAUAUUUCCAUUUGCUAGUAAAACACCACAGGCUUUGAACUGACCUGACACCCUGGGCCAGGUGGUGGUGGCCACUCGAUUGUGACAACCCCGUAUUUCUCCUGGUGCCCUCACUUGGUGUCUGGUGUCACCACACCAGAGAAAAGGGAGAUGCUACAAGGGUUUUCUUUCUUUGAAUAAUAAAUAUUAUUACUGAUCUUUUUUCUAUAUUAAUUAAAAAGUGAGAACUAUGACACUGUUGAGGUGUUAACUGGGCUAUCGGUAAUUUCUUAGCACUGUGUUUACAGUGUGCCCCCUUUUGGCCAUGCAGAUAUUUUUGUUCCAGUCCAGCUGUGGGCUGGUUUACAUCAGGAAGGAUCAUUUGGGGGCACAGGGGUUCGCAAGCAGAGACGUCCCAAAUCAAAACAAUGUGAGUGAACCUUUCUGCAAGUGUAUCCCCAGCCCCUCAUAUAGCUAAAUUCCUUUUCUCUUGUUUUAAGGCUCUGAAAUGCUGUUUGCUCUGCACAAUUGUGGGAGUUCAACGCCAUGUGCCCCUUGGCACGGUCCCACCUAAAUAAACAUUUUCAUACCAGGAUGACAAAUGAACUUGUGGAUUGUGCACUCCAUUAAGUCUCUGUUUCCUUGCCCAGAGCGAUUAUUUUGUUGAGGCAAUCCUCCAGCCCCCCAUCACUGAGAUGCCAAGAAAAUUUUAAAAUAUGGGGUGUUUCCCAGAAAAACACCUGUUUCUUGAUGUUAUGACCUCACCUGGAAAUGCGUAAAUGCUCUCUUUUGGGUGAUGCUGCACCCUCUGCUUUGCUCAGCCAGGAACACUUUGUUUCUUUUCCGAGGGAUUAUUUUUCUUGCCAUGAUACAACACCUGAAUGUUUUUCUUGCCGAAGUACAUUUUGAUACAGAACAUCAUUUCAGGAGGAAAUGUCAGUCUGAAAAUGGCA